GCAGUAGCCGCGGGAAUACAGAGGGUGCGAGCGUUAAUCGGAUUUACUGGGCGUAAAGCGUGCGUAGGCGGCUUUUUAAGUCGGAUGUGAAAUCCCUGAGCUUAACUUAGGAAUUGCAUUCGAUACUGGGAAGCUAGAGUAUGGGAGAGGAUGGUAGAAUUCCAGGUGUAGCGGUGAAAUGCGUAGAGAUCUGGAGGAAUACCGAUGGCGAAGGCAGCCAUCUGGCCUAAUACUGACGCUGAGGUACGAAAGCAUGGGGAGCAAACAGGAUUAGAUACCCCCGUAGUCCCUGUCUCUUAUAA
rnacentral:rRNA from 1 species